GGUCUGCGUACACACUACCCUCCCCAGACCCCACUAAGUGGGAUUAUACUGGGUUGUUGUUGUUGUUGUUGUUGUUGUUGUAAUUGUAGGCGGUGUACUACGAAGUACAUAAGAUUUGGGAGUACAACAAUAUUGGGGUAUGUCUCUGUUUCUCUUUCAACCUUAGAUUCUUGUAAAACAUUUCUUUUCUGCAUUCUAUAUGAUUUCAUGUUUGUGCCAUUUCUUUCUCAGUAUAUUUUGCCAAGUCAACAUGGAACUUUACUCAUCCUACAUUGUUUAGGCUGCCUAUAUUUAUUUCAGAGGCACAAGGAUAUUUGGUGUUAGCGAAAGGAUUAUAGGAUGCAAAGAAUGUACGUAAAUUUAAAUUAUAGUUGAAAUAUUUGCUGAGUAUAUUAGAUUUAGGAAAACCUAUGCAAAAGCUAAGAUAUUUAAGAGCAAUUAAUUUUGCUGGGCAGCGGAUUCUGCUAAUAGAUAUACAGGAAUGCUACUGUGAUCGCUUCAACAAUUUAUUUAUUGCCUAAAUCUCAUAGAAUGGAGUACUUGGUUGAUGCUGAUUCCUUUAUCCCUGUGUAAGAUGUUUAAAGAUUUUUCAUUUUCUUUACACGCAAGUGGUUCUAUAUGUUUAAAAUUGCUAAGUAACUUUGAGAUUCUUUGUCUCUAAUAGGAAAAAUCUUAUGCUAACAAAUUUGUUGGAGUCACUUCUUUUGAGAUGUUAUUACUUUAUAUCUAUUAUUCUUUUCAGAUAAACUAAGCAUUUACAUUGAUAAGCACGUACCAAAAAAAAGGCCGAGACAUUGUUAUCGUUCUUUCUUCUCGGGUAUAAGUGUGAUAUAGACCUAUUUGCUUGAUUCUUCCUUCUCUAAACUCAUGCUCACCAUAGUUUUUCUUCUUUCCAAGUUCUAUUUUUAUUGCUUAUUGAUAAAGUAAAAGUGUCUUUUCUGAUUACUUUGCGCACAUUAUUCCAGUUUGAUUAUAUACUUGAUUGAUGAUGAAAGCGAAAAACUUAUCUUUUUCCUAAAGCAUCUCUGAUUUGCUCCUUGUUUAUUCACUUUAAUCUUUCUUCCUACACUUUUCGUAAAACAUCUCUAAAAUGAUAGCUUUUCUGGUAGAUGAAUUGAAUGGUUGUAUUGACGCACCUCCUGACAAGGAGAAAAGAAAGAAGGAAGUUCAAAAUUUACAUAUUUUAAAGAAGAGAAAGUACAGCUUAGGGCAAUUACCAAACUUAUAAUCUUAGUUGUAACAGGAGGGAAACACACUAUAUUUGCUGGGUGCCUCAUUUUUAUUAUUUUGAAUAUAUAUCUUAUCCAUGAGCAAUAAUUGGUCGUAGUUAUAGAUUUUUGCCAGAUCCUAAAUAUAGAUAAUGGAGUAGCUUGCAAUGAUAGCAGUUCAUCCAUCACCACUGCUGUAAGGGGAUCCUACAAAUUAUAGGUCUUUAACUAGACUAAAUGCUUCUUGAAUGCGCUGAGAUGGAAACAAUAGUGCUGAGACGGUAGAAAAAAGCGAUGAAGAUGUUUCCUGCAAAAACUGGCUUUCUUGCUGAUCUCAGAUUCGUAAAUCGGGAAGAACCAUUAUAAUGUGGUUGUAGUAGAAUAUGAUGCUUUAACUCGAACAAGAGGGGAGAGAAUAGUAUUAGUAUAUCUUAGUUCAAUCUGUUGCCAGCCAAAGCCUGGAGAUCCUGAAGACUUAUUCACCUCUUUGGGUGUAUUGCUCAAUCUUUCUAGGCAAUAGGUGCACGUGUUUUACUCAAAAAAAAGAAGAUAGAUCCAUGUGUAAAGAUCGUAACUGUCAAUUGUUUACUUUUUCAAAUUUUAUGCCUUCUGCAGUAUGUUUCUUAAUAUUUCUUUGGAAGAUGUUUCAUUUGAGUGAAAAAAAUGACAGAAAGAUCUCAGUUGAUGAGUUUUGUGA